AACGAACGCUGGCGGCGUGCUUAACACAUGCAAGUCGAACGGUAAGGCCCUUCGGGGUACACGAGUGGCGAACGGGUGAGUAACACGUGGGUGAUCUGCCCUGCACUUCGGGAUAAGCCUGGGAAACUGGGUCUAAUACCGGAUAGGACUCCGGACUGCAUGGUCUGGGGUGGAAAGCUUUUGCGGUGUGGGAUGGGCCCGCGGCCUAUCAGCUUGUUGGUGGGGUGAUGGCCUACCAAGGCGACGACGGGUAGCCGGCCUGAGAGGGUGACCGGCCACACUGGGACUGAGAUACGGCCCAGACUCCUACGGGAGGCAGCAGUGGGGAAUAUUGCACAAUGGGUGCAAGCCUGAUGCAGCGACGCCGCGUGAGAGAUGACGGCCUUCGGGUUGCAAACCUCUUUCAGCAUCGACGAAGCGAAAGUGACGGUAGGUGCGGAAGAAGGACCGGCCAACUACGUGCCAGCCGCCGCCGCGG
rnacentral:rRNA from 1 species